CUCUAUGGUUAUGCCACCCUGAACAAGCCUGAUCCCAUCUGAUCUCGGAAACUAAACAGGGUCGGGCCUGGUUAGUAUUUGGAUGGGAGACCACCUAGGAAGACCAGGUGCUGUAGGCG
rnacentral:rRNA from 1 species